rnacentral:lncRNA from 1 species
UAGUAUUGAUGCUAAGGUGUUUCUUUGCAACAUAUAAAAAAUGUUUGUUCUCCUCCACUUUUUCAGAUGUGCCAGCAAAAAAACCAAACCAAACCAAACCAACAUCAACCAAACAAAAAAACCAAAAAUAGGUAAUGUAUGGAAGGAUAAGAAGCUAAAAGCUCCUCUUUCUGUCCAGGUCAAGCCAACUUAAACUUUUUCCCCUCUAGCAGCACAUGCAAAUUAACAGUUAAAUCAGAUUGAAGGACCAAGCGCAUUUGUCCCACAUUUCUUUAAUCACUUCCAAUCUAAAGUCAUUUAGUCCUCUUCACUGCCUUGCAUGUGAUGCCAGGGGGAGGCACAUGCUAUGCGGCCAGCCUAGCUCGGAGCAGGCGUCUCCCUGUGUUCUAUUCACCAUUCCCUGAAGUUAUUCAGGUCAUGCUUUCCAGGUCAGAUCAGAGCAGCACCUGUGAUUUUUAAUAAGCAUGCUUUUGUAGGCUCCCAACAAUGGCAAGAAGCCCACCAAGAAGGUAGGUGACUGCAGGUACACAGAAAAUUAAAUUUAUUAAGUUUUUUCCCCCCUCCCUCUUACUAUUGCUACAGGCAAGGCUGUAGUGGAAGACCAGUGCUCUCAAUCCAUGCUGCUCUCUCAGAUAGCCUCCACAAAUGUCUUUACUGCAUCGACUUGAUACUGACAUCACAGUUAAUCUACCCCUCCUGGCUGCAUCAACUUCUUCUCUGGCCAAGGAAGGACAAUGCCUCACUACCACCAGCUCAUGGCACGCUCAGCAAGCAGGGGGGAACUCGGCUGCAACUGCUACCAUCUCUGCUUGAAACCCACUGCUUCCUUUGCCUUUUUCUCUUCCCCCCUCUCCACACAGUUACAACACUAAGUACAUGAAGUCAGUCUCAAGGCGUCCUUGAUAUGAAGAAACAAAGCAAAGCAAAUUAAAGCUCUGCAGUCUUUGAUCACCAACUAUGAAUAACCAAGAUGAUCUAGUCACAAGGCAAAUAAAUUGUGUAUAAUUUUGUAUAGUAGCCUUUUAAAAGAUGCCAAGAAAAGGACCCACAUUGCAAUUCAGUGGGAACUAUUAGAUUUCAACCGUUCUAGUUCGAACAUCAAAAUAAAAGCUGUGAAGUAUUUUCAUUCCAGACUUUAUUUGGAACACAGGCCAGGGAGAUCCCUAGUCUGGUUUGGUUCCUAGGCCCUACAGAUGUAAGAACAACUGGGAAACUGCCCUUUUUCUGUUACAUGAUUUCCCCUCCCCCAAGAAAAGUGAUAUUGAGAUUGAAGCAUAAUCACCUGAUUUUAGCAUCACAUCAUAUUCUGUCGAAUCUGAAACUGAAAUUUAAUAAUGUCAGCCACACAAGCCAAAGACACAAACUGGAGACAGAAAAAUAGACAGAAUAGGUAUUAAAUGACAGGUACAUCGUUACCAAAAAGCUCUAUUGCAACAAGAUCAAAAUUUUCCUCCCCAGAAGAACUGAACAUAUGAGCUGCUUGUUUACUACCGAUUCCUUUCUGUUCCACUGAGGUUAAUUUUUUAAGAGAAGCAACCAUAUCUUGUGGUGCCCAGAAUGUAUUCCAGUAGUAAGCUCGAAGUCCAGACUCUCCUUCACUGUGGAGGGAAAAAAAAUAUACAUCAUAAAUACACCUGAAUUAGUAUUUUGGACAGACUUUCCACUGGUCUGCAGUUUCGGCUUGCACACUUUCAUAGCCAGUUGAACGGCUGCAUGAAGAGUUGCAGCUGAACAUGGUGGCAAAAAGCUCUCCUGUUUAAUGAUUGUUUUGUCUAUACAGUAGAAAAACCUUGAAAAUACCUUCCUUAAACAGUUACACAUUGAGACUAAAAAUUAUACCUCACAG